CUCUCAUCCCUGCCACCUUCACCACCGUCAUCUCCUUCUCAAGCACUACCCCCAUCUCAACAGCCUUCCCCGAUGCCACCCCAGCCACCUUCGCCCCUCUCAUCCCUGCCACCUUCACCACCGUCAUCUCCUUCUCAAGCACUACCCCCAUCUCAACAGCCUUCCCCGAUACCACCCCAGCCACCUUCGCCCCUCUCAUCCCUGCCACCUUCACCACCGUCAUCUCCUUCUCAAGCACUACCCCCAUCUCAACAGCCUUCCCCGAUACCACCCCAGCCACCUUCGCCCCUCUCAUCCCUGCCACCUUCACCACCGUCAUCUCCUUCUCAAGCACUACCCCCAUCUCAACAGCCUUCCCCGAUACCACCCCAGCCACCUUCGCCCCUCUCAUCCCUGCCACCUUCACCACCGUCAUCUCCUUCUCAAGCACUACCCCCAUCUCAACAGCCUUCCCCGAUACCACCCCAGCCACCUUCGCCCCUCUCAUCCCUGCCACCUUCACCACCGUCAUCUCCUUCUCAAGCACUACCCCCAUCUCAACAGCCUUCCCCGAUACCACCCCAGCCACCAUCGCCCCUCUCAUCCCUGCCGCCUUUUCCACCACCACUUUCCCUACCACCAUCCCGACCAUUCCCUCAGCCAUUGCCUCCAUGGUCACCUCCACCAUCCCUUCCACCACCUUCCCCGGAACCAUCACCGCCAUCACCGCCAUCACCGCCAUCACCGCCAUCAUCAUACACACCACCGCACCCACCACCGACGCCGCCACCGGACCCGUCACAGUCGCCUCCAUCACCACCAUUUCCACCCCGUCCUCGGUCACCUUCACCCCCACCCUUGCCACCAUUCCCGCCGCCAUCACCGCCAAAGCCGCCUUUACCUUUUAAUGUAGAGGUGGACUACAAUUUCGUGAAAACGUCUCCGAAAUUUAAGGUAGGCUCCUUAGUUAACCUCGCUUUUUUCAUCGUCUUACAAUAUUUUUCAUGGUCUUCUAUCGAUUGCGUCGUCAUGGAGCUUUGGGGCGAGUUACGCCUGGAAAUAGAUCUACCGUUGUCUAGCACUACUCUUCCAUUCUACGGACGAAAUGUGUCCAUGCCAUGCUUUCUGCCAUGCGUAUUUCAGAGAUGUGCUUCCCUGCCAUCCCAGGACAACCGACGAAAUAGCACCUUGAUGCCCUUUCUCUGUGGCUUGAUGUUUUCUCGUUCUUGCCUCCUCCUCAUCGAGCUCGAGCACACUUCCCCCUAAGCUAUUCAUGCAGUCCUUGCCCCAGCCGCCACCGGCUAGCUUGCAAUUGCUGGCUCGGACAAACGAAAACGUGCAAUCUCGAAUGUUCCGGGAUGUGCCCUGACGGCAUGAUGACAUGACGCAGAGUAGUAUCUGGCCGCUGGAAAGGCUUCUUAAGAUGCUGACGGAGUGCCUUAGCAUGCAUAUAGCUUGAUCUGCUGCUGUUGAUGAUGAUACAAGCUUGAGAGCUUGUAAGGCCCAGAUCUGCUCGUUUCGUGGUCACUCCCUGAUGGCACAUAUGUUACAUACAGACAUGCAUUACAGAUGACAUCUUCACUUGACGACCGCGAUUAUUGUGUGUGCUAGCUGCAUGCAUAAUCCUAUAGCCUUCGGACGUCGAGCUCCAGGCGGUUCUUGGUCGGCUGCCUAUCUAAUACAAGCAGCAGCAGCAGCAGCAGCAGCAAGCGUGCAGUGCAUGACCCGUGUUUGAGCUAAAUAUGUGUUGUUGCUUCCAUCAAAAGGCAAACACGUGUUCGAAAGGCAGACAUGGCCCAUCCAUAAUGUCGUCAACGUGGCCCAAAUCAUCCAACCUUAAGAUUAAACGGACCGAUUGAAUGGCCGUACAUGUGUAUGCGGCAUCACGUGUAUCCAUGCAGGACGAUUCACCAAUCGACUGCACGAAUUCAGGCGACCUGGCAGCCGACGUGGCUAAGGGAGCCAACCUGACCUCUCAGAACAUCACCAUCACCUGCAGGGCCGCAGCGGGCAGACGUCGAGGAAGGGCUGCACUGCAAGCCGCUGCUGAGGUGCGAGUAAAAAAUGCGUCUUGCUUUGUAUAUCUCUUUAUAAAGACGACCGGCAGCCAGAAACCCUGGGGGGAUACGGAGAUAGGCAGAUGUCGCUCCACCUGCUGUCGCUCCACCUGUUCCGGAAGUAAAUCGUUUCCAUACCGCCCCGUUGUAAUGGCGCGUGUUCACUGAACAUAGUAUGCGCAGCUAGCCGGGCUUACUUCGUCCAGACAGAUACACGCAUACAGAUACACUACACGCAUACAGAUACACUACACGCAUAAAGACAUCCUCGACGGUGAUUAGUUAGCAGGUAGCAGGGGUGAGCUAGAGGGUGAGGCACAGGUAGAGGUAGAGGUAGAGGUAGCCCCUGUGAGUUAAAGUUAGAGCGGCAGUGCACCUCCUCACGCAUCUGUUUUCCUGAGAAAUCAUCAUAUGUUACAAAGGGUACCCGCAAGCAAAUGAACUAAGUCUUCCUUUGAUAGGUGGAGGCCGGGUGGAGGCCCCAGCUACCGCGAGGCGGACACCUAACGCCUCACAGCAGCGACCUAAUGUAGCUACGAAACCCCAAAAUCACUCAUCAGCACACCGGAGCGAUCUUCUUUACCGGCAUUACAUGCCGUACCAAUGCUUACAACCAACUCUUCAGAGUUCACAGAAAACCUCUGUUUUCUAUCGGUACUCCCCGAGAACCUUCAGUCAGUCAUUCCAUUAUCGAGAUCCGCUGCUGUGAUAACGUAAGCACAUAAAUACGCGCACACAGACAGACAGACAGACAGACAGACACGGACAGACACACAAACACCCUUCUGUUCCACUGCGAUGCCUGCAGGACUGCACCGCACCCAAGGUGGAAACCGACUUUAUUCUCAAGGUAAUUGGGGAUGAUAAUCGGUGCUCAUACAUACGUAAGGCCGAUGGUGCGGUUGUGCACGCACGUGCUGCCAGUAUGUAUGUUUGUUUGUAUGUUCCCCCCCCUGCUGCUGCAACGCCCGCCCGAUGCGGUAUCCUGUCUGGCUGGGCUAUCUACUUACUGACUGAUGCUGAUUUGUAUCAUCAGCUCGCGAGCCCUUUUUAUCUGAUAAGGCAAGCGGGCACCCCCGGGGGGUUAACACUCGAUCGAUAUUAACCCGUUGUUCUGCCCCUGCUCACCUGCCUCACCACUGCUGCCACCCCAUCGCUCAUCGGACCCCCACUCCAGAUUGAUCCUUCUCGGGACAUCCAACAGUUCAUGAAGCAGCUGUAUGAUACUCUGCUGCAGUCCUUCAGUGACAAGGGGAUGUGCUCCCUGGGGCCGCUCAACGGCUCCUGGGCGACGACUGGAAGCUCUGUAAGUGCAUGUGUGCAGUGAUGGCUAGGUGUUAUGCGUGCAUCCAUCCAUCCAUCCAUCCAUCCAUCCAUCCAUCCAUCCAUCCAUCCAUCCAUCCAUCCAUCCAUCCAUCCAUCCAUCCAUCCAUCCAUCCAUCCAUCCAUCCAUCCAUCCACCCAUCCAUCCGUCCAUACGUGCAUACGUACAUAUGUACGUACAUUGGCGUUAUUACCCUUCAAUACGAAAUUGAUUGCGUUGAACUGAAGCUGCUGACGAUUGGCUGCAGCUCGCGCAUCAGCAUCAUCAGCACGGGCUGCGGUAAUAUUGCACCGCAUGGCCCCCUACCCAUGUUCGGCGAUUUUGGCAUCGCUUCCAUGUGCUGCUUUCCCUGAUGACACAGCACGCAGGCGACUUGAUUUCUAUGUAAUUGGGCCCCGGCACGGUGCGCUUCCACACCAGGCAGCCAAUACAUAUAAUUCCUCUUGAGUCCGGGUUCCCUCACAAGACUUAGCAGCGAUGCUGUUGUAUGCUUGGCGGCAAGCUACGGUCCUAUCGUGCGGAAACAUUGACUCCUAUUUGGGGAUAUCCUAAGAUUUACGGGCGUUGCAACACCCGUGGCCUGGGCAGUUUUCGCCAAUUAAAAGCUGCGCGGCUAUUACUGCCAAUACUGAUGUAAAUCCAUAAUGCAUUAUCGCCUGAUGACGUAUUUGUUCGGCUGCGUGCGUGCUGCAUGUUUCUCUUGGUGUAUGUAUGUAUGUAUGUAUGUAUGUAUGUAUCUAUUCCCGGCGCAGUAUCGCACCAAGGCUGUAACGGCUGCUACGGCGCCUCCUCCUCCAUCGCCAAGUAGCAGUAGUGGCGGCAGCACGAGUGGAAAAUGGAAUUCUUGGCUCGCUAUCACCGGCCUUGUCGUUGGCGGAAUAGGUAUUCUCUGCGCUCUGGUGGUCUUUAUCAUACUGGUGCUCGUUUACCGCUCCCGCAGGCGCCAGGUGCGCGUGUGUGUGUGCGUGCGUCUGUGUGUGUGUGUGCGUUAUAGUUGCAGUUCACAUACACAGCAGUAGUGAUGGGCUUCGUGUAUGAUGGCAACAUUUCUAGGCAUAUAUACACUCUUCUUCGUCUUACACGCUGUACUAUCCUGGGCGGGCACCAGUAUCACGAGAUCUGCAUCCAUCCGCCGAUCGGUACUUUUCUGAAGUCGUGAUAUAACACACGCAUACAUAGGGUACGUAUAUAUAUAUGUGUGUGUGUGUUAGUUACACCUUCUGGAGUUGCGUUACCCUCCAAACGACAGACACCCAUAUUCAAAAUCCAUGGGGGAGCUAGCCGGUGCCACAGACAAGCUUCCCUGAUACAGCCUUUCCAGCUAGCCGUUGUUUCAUAGAAGGUACAGAAAGUCGCAGAUCGCAGAUCAUCACCAUCACCAUGAUCUUCACCAUCACCAUCAUCGUCAUUAUUACCAUCACCAUCAUCGGCCCCACAAUCUCCCCCAGCCCGACGGGAUAAGUCUUCAACAACUUCUGCCACUCCUAGCUACGUGUCCAUGGCACACACAGGCACAUGUAUAUGUCCAUUGCCCGCCCCCCCCCGCUUCUACAGGCGGCCCCACAUCCAUGUGGCGGAAAUUACCUAUGUAUAACCUGUAACUUUUAUAUGAAUAGUCUUUCAACCCCUCUGCUGAAUCUUCUUGCGUGUCGCCCACUCUGUCUUCUGCCCUGCUGUUGCCUCACCCACCUAUGCAGAGGGAACACAAUGCAUCCUAUGCUACUCCCAACGAUGCAGUGGUGGCGCCAGACGGCGUGGGGCCCUUCUUUGCCAGCAGAAAUGUUGUGCAAGCGACACCGCCAGAUGACCCGACGCCUGUCACAGCCAUGGCGCUUGGAGCGACUGCUGCCACUGCUGGGGCCCGCGGAGGUGAUGUUUCGCCCCCCACCCGCCGAGUAACCCCGACACUCAUUGACAAUGACAAUCUAGGAAGCCCUGCUACUGGCGCCGCAGCCGCAGCCGCAGCUGCUGUUCGUCCAGUAACGACCACGAGAGCCGCCGCUCCUGCUCCCGCGUCAUCAGUGGCAUCCGAUCACGACACCAAUACUGAAGUCAUGGGCGCCACGCCCGCCGAGUCCCAAGCGGUUGUUGUUGCUGCGGCGCCGGUAAGCGGGGCCUCGAGGUCCAGCCGGGGCCCACGAGAAGGGCAGCAACAGCAGCAGCAGCAGCCACACCCGCCCGCUAGCAGCAGCAGCAGCGGCAGCCGACGACGGGAUAAGCCUCCGAGGCCGAACAGAGACACCUUCGCGUUGGAGGUGGAGGUGGCCGUCAAGAAGAUCCCACCUCCUCCAGAAGAGGCUGAUGAGGACAGCGGUAUGGACGAGGGACGCUACGGCAGCAGUGGCAGUAGUGCCAUUACUGCCGGCGCGGUUGACCCGACACGUCAGCAGCAUCGGCCGCCGGUAAGUGCAGCGAACCUCCGUCCCGUGGAUGUAUAUGCAGGUUGCUGCUGCACGGUCUGUGCACAUACUGCUGUGCAACCGCCAGUAGUAGUCCAUCAACUUGCUGCUGCACUGCUUGCUGCUGCACUGCUUGCUUGCGCUAGCACGCAUCGACAUCCCUGAUGCUGGCUAAUACGUGGCACGCGAUCACUAUGUAUGUAUGGCCAGCAGCAGACAGCAAUGAGGCUGUUUAUGUAUGUUCACCAAUGCGCACCCGUAAAUGGAUUGACUUGCAAGUAGCUGGAAACCCCAACGCGGGGGGCAUGUGUCCUUUGUCGUACAAGGAGGGUCUGCACAUACACGACUACGUGCACGACGCGCUUUGUUGUUGCUCAUCCGUUUAGCAAUGGUUCAUGAACACCUGGUUCUAGUACGACAUCGUGCGGUGUUGCGAUGUGCCCACCUGCCCGACGGUCGACUUGCCUGUUGCCAUGUUGUACGAUGCGCAUCAACCUAACUACCUUGGUGUGGGCUCAGAGUAAAACUUACUGUCCGGCGGUGUUUGUUUUGUCUUUUCCUAGCCAGUCGGUGUUCUUACUUUUAAUGGCGGUGUGCAUUCUGGCUGUGAGGGGACCCGCACGCGGAGUGCGAAGGCUUUUGCAGCAAGCAGGAUGCGUGCAUGGAUGGAGGGAUGGAUUCAUGAACACCGCAUUCCGCACUAUUAUGAAUACUACUACUACUACUACUACUACUACUACAACUACUACAACUAUUACUAACUAUUUUCAGAUGACAUGGAGCCGUACCCUGCCGUACCUGCCACCAAAACUAUCCCCCCUUCGCAGAUGUCCGGAAGACCAAGCGGGGCGGGUUCGACCUCGUCGGAGGCCGCAGCAGUCACCGCUCUCCCGGGUGGCCACGGGGCUACGGGAGCACAAAAGCGGAUGCGGCCUGCGAGCGCCGCAAGGAGAGCGGACAACAGGGGUUCCAGCAGGUCACCAGCUAAACCCGGUCGACCAGCCCCCAAGCCGGAUGACGAAAUUCGGGCCCCAAGCAGACUAAAACAUGACGAGCCUAUUAGUCCGGCGGGCGCAUUUUCACCCUCGGCUGCUCGUCCCAGUGGAAGCAGAAGCCAACGGAGCGCCCCGCUGGUGGCCGGGGAGGAGCGCGUGCUCUCGCAAAACGCCCUCCCAGAUGGGAGGCCGCGGCUGCCUCCCCUAGCCGUCCCGGCGUCUUCUGUUUACAACAGCACGGAGAUCACGGGCAGCAGCAGUCGAAAGCUCAUUUUGGAGUCCCCGCCUUCGGCGGUGACCGCAGCUGCACCAGCACCGAGGACGGCGCCGUCCCAGGUGGCCUAUAUGGACACCGCCUCGCCCCCGGGGACAACGGACGGCAGCGGCCGUGCCAGCGACAGUAGCGGCGGCGCCAGUGCCGGCCCCGGCCCGUCUAACCCGUCACUUCGACCCCCCCGGCCACCGAAGCAGCAGCAACAGCAGCGGGAGCAGGUACGUGGCGCGCUGUCCUUUUUUAACUACACUACAGCCAAACAUUUCUGAUGGGAAUUUGUGUGCGUGUGUGUCUUUUUUUUUGUGUGUUACGAAUUGGAGAAGGUUGACUCCGCCGUGAUUGAAAAUGAAUAGACGUACGUCUAUGGCUGGGACAUUUUUCCUUUGGGAUAUCCUUUUACCAAAACAGGUCUAAAAUUUUGCUGCCACCAUGCUUCCAUGCAUAUGUCGCAAAUAAUAAUUCCCGCACUACCACUUCUUCUUCUUGUCCGCACUCCAGCAGGGGCCUCUUUAUCAAGGGUCGACAAAUGUCCCGUCAAGUACCAGUCGAACGGCGUUGCACGUGCGUAAAAACAGCGAUAGCUUCCAUCGUGAGGAGGUGAGUGCGAUCAUCACGGUGUGUGCGCGUGUGACGACUGUCGUCAUCAUUAAAAUAUGGUAAUGAUAAGAAUGCGGCUCUACACUCUCUACUCCGCUCAGCUGCUGCGGCGGGCACACGCACGUUACAGCUACUGCAGUUGCUGUGUGUUGAUUGCAUGCGAUGUUAUUGAUUAUUGCAUGGUCGAUGGUAUGAUGAUUGAUGUCAUAAAAGGUCACAUAUAUCCUUGGAGGCCUCUUUUAAGGAUGUCCCUGCCCAGGCAGGCACCGGCCUACCUCACUUCCACAUCUACAGUCUAUACCACCAUGCCACCACUCACACUAUACAUACCUACGUGCAUACAUGUCCACCCAUUAGUGCGCGCUUCAUCAUCAGCCGCCAGCGGAUCGAUCAUUAGCCGGUCCCACCACUCCUCCUUAACGCCAGACAGCUGGAUACCGUGCUGGCGCUCAUCUUCCGGUCCUUAGGGUUAGUGGUUGCAAUUAUUGUAUAUAAAAUAUUUAUUACGUGAUAAUUAUUGACGAGAUGCAAAUAUAUAAUGCCUUUUCUGUUCGCCUGGUAACACUGCAGCUGAUGAUGAUGAUAACUGUAAAAUAACACUCCCCGCCUUGUUUUUGCAGGACCUCACUGCGGAGUUACCCCUCCGGACUUCCGGCAACAACAGCUCUUCAGCAGCUGGUGCAGCUGGUGGCUGGCAGAACGGCAGCUAAUGCGUGGAAUAUGUUUUAGGGAGGUGUUGCAUAUGCACCGCCACACACAUACAUGAUUAAUAGCCCCACAUGCACCCGGCAGUAGGCCGCCCUAGAUAGAGGAACACAAAUAUGUAAGCAACUGACCACCGCAGUCGGUCAAUUGAUUUGGCUGCUGGCCCUGAUGAAGAAGCGAGCAACUACAUACAUUCUGUAAGUACAUUCAGCCCUGUGCAUGGGGGCGGGCUUGAUAUGGGCCACGAGGGCACCAGUUGGUCGUCGUCCAGGGUAACCUCCUCCUGCUGCUCCUGCAACCCAAGCACGUGGUAGCUUCUGUCCAUGUUUGUAUGUAUGUAUGUGGUAUGUGUGUAUGUGGAGUAGUGUAAGCCAUGCAGGAGCGCGUGCACGGCGGCGGCGUAUGGGGUCUAUAUCUCAACUAGCCAGCGCGUGUGCUGCGCACUUCCCACUGUUGACGUGUCAAUUCAUUUUCUGGUGCUGCUGCAGCAGCAGCGGCAGCAGUAAUGGUAAAUUUGUUACUAUUAGGGUUGCUCUUACUUGGUUCGUUAUCCCUUUCUCAUCGGCGGGCAUAUGUGGGGCCCUGCUUCAUGACAUUAUAUCGCAACGUCGCAUGACAAUAUUUAUCCAACGUAUGCAUGACAGAUAUCUCUGCAGGCAUCCGCUAUCUUUUGCUAUGUGCAACCUGGCUUAUUGGCUACCUGGUUAUGGGUUUGGCAGGGAAGGCUUCAUGUCGGGUGCGUGUGAUUAUGAGGCAAGUGAUCUUGAUGACCUUCCACACGUGUGUGCGUCGUUUUGUCGGCGGGUUUUCUGCACCUUCAGCCCGGCAGGCGACUGACUACAUGCAUACAUACACACACACGUACAUACUUGCGAGCGUUGAUCAAUUAUUUCUGAGGCAGGCAUGGCUCGACUUCUGAAAGCGUGCACGAGGGGCUUGCUAGGGGCCCGAGCAGGUGUGUAGCAACAAGGCGAACCCAUACAUGGCUGGGCUCGUCUAUCUCUGUUCGGAGGUAGAUACUGCGGUGGGGGUGUCUGCCGGCCGCAGUUUUAGCUCGCGGGUGGAUUAUACAGUUCUGUCUGUGCUUCCUUGCAUGGUCGAUGACGACGACUCGGACAAUGCACAUGCGCACGUGCGCCUCUGAUGAUGGCCGCCUUGUACCUGCGGGCAGGACCGCCUUGUACCGUACGGGCAUUCGGAAGCACGGAUGCGUACGCAUAUCUCAAGCAAGCAAGCAAGCUCAGAAGUCUCCAGGGCAUGCAGGCAUGCAAAUGGUUUAGGUUCAUGUGUACAUGGCAGGAUGGCGACAGGACUGGCGACUGCACGCAGGCUGUUUUGUCGUGUUCGUCCUCAUCAGCCCUACUGGUAACCUCCUAGCAACUAGGUUUUAGGGUUGCUUUCAUCGCAUUGCACUGCGCAUUGCACUAGCUUUUUUUGUAAAUCUUUAGCUAGACUGGCUUUUGCAUUGCACUGCGCUGCGCUGCAUGAAUGGAACACGACGGACGACCGGACGCAUUUCUAUUUUGCUACUUUGCUACAUACCUGCUGUACUGUGAUGCGACAACAACGUUAAGUCUUGGCAAAGGAAGACCUGCUAGACGAAUAGCUAACCAUGCUACAAAGGCCUAAGGCCGGCGGGCUCAUAUAGCAGGUAGUUGUAGCGGGUUAAGUAUGGUAGGCUGCGGGUGUUUACAUUUCGUGCUGCCGACGAUUUCGGUUGCCCCUGCAUAAACAUGUAGUGCAUUGUCGUCGUACCUUUCUUCCUUUCUCGGUGUACUUACUGUCAUGCUAUGUUGCAACCAGCAGGAUGUAUUUGCACGGGAGUGAGUAAUGCUUGCCAGGGAAUGUCAAACAUUUAGGCCUAUUAGGGAUCAUGUUGUAAAUGUGAACCUCGUAAUGAAAAGGCAUGGCAUGUUGUCCCUCUCGUCGGUUGGACGAAUUGGGCGCAGAAGUCACCAAAUGCAAGCCGCCCGGCCGGCAAAUGCCCGCCCACCCGGUCGCCAUCCACUGAGGGGAUUCGAUCGUAUCGAUAUAUGGCACACGCGUAGCAGAGAGGCGCUGGCCGCCCCGAGAUGCUGGCAGAGCGAUUUAGCGAGAAUGCGUCAUUAAUAUCUGAGUGAGUCAUUAAUACUGAACGACCGGUACUACAUGCAGCGGCAGCAGAUCAGGCCUGCGAAUGAGGAGCGCCCUCCCGAGGGGUUAACCUCGCUCACCGUGCUGGUGCAGCGCAUCGGCACAGUCCGGCUAACCCGCCGACGACGGAUCGGGUUUGUGAAUUUCAAUGGGUUGCAUACGCAAACGGGUUGCUGCAAUACCUGGCCUUGAUCCGCUGAUGAAGAUUGCACUUCAGAAAUGUUUGAAUCAAUAGCUUCGGAUACUUAGGAUGAAGCUUAGGAUAGGUUUGUACUGGAGUGGUUGCGGAGUAGAUACGUACAUACAUACACACAUGGAUGCACAUCCUAACGUCUGACUGGCUGGCUGGCGGCACAACAGCCAAUGCGACUUAUCGGCCUUGUCAGCAGUGCCAUUAUGGUGCUGCCUCCGGGGACAUUGUAUAGGUGCUUUUACAUGCACGUAACGGCGGUGGUUUUCAUCACCAGUCCUCUGUAGUCUGCAGCGAUUCAUACCAUAAGGAUUGUACGAAUCUAUCGUCUGAUUGAAGGGCACACUUUACUGUAUGAACUACUGUAUGUGACGAGGGGGAAGAUGGCGACUACGCACCCAGAGUCGCCACAAGUCGCGACAAUAGCAACCACCUUUGACGACGGCCUACCGGAAAGGAAGGUCUAAGCUAUGAAUAAAUACAAGUUACUACUGACUGAGAUAUUAUUAUGACGCAACGUGGGAGGGCUGCACAGCGCCCAGAAGCCAAUCGUUGGCCGUUACAGAAGUUGAAACGUCAUGCAAAUGUGAUGCGAGACUAAAACAGCGAGUCAAGAUUUUUUUUGCAAUAAAACUUUAUAUAACAGUGUACGUACUUCCUUCUCAACAAUAUGUUUUCCCCGUGGUCAACCAGAGCCCCGUAGCUUGCUUCCCAUGGAACUAUUCCCGAGGCUACCUAGCGCAAGGUAGUGGUGCAGCUCUCGUGUAACUUUCAACCUUUGGAAUAAACGGAUUGUUAUAAUUCUAUCUAUUCUGCCACUCAUGCAAAUCGGCAAUGUCCCCGUCAACCGGCACAUUCUUCGGGGCCUCUCCGAACUGUUUAACUCUCAACAGGACUCUGAUUGCGUAAUUAUCUUCUGUCGGGAACGCUGCUCCAAUCCGAUAUCGGAAGCGGCCUCAUCCUCGAAGCGGAAGGGUCCGGAUGGCGAACCCUCUCGCCAAGAAGUCUUCGGCGACCCCAUGCCCGGCCAUCGCUUCGUAUUGAGAUGCGCAUCGGAGCAUUUUAAAGCGAAGGUGAGGCGAGCGUAAGGCUUUGGUGGCGAAAACCAAUGACCAUGCCAACUGUUUCGUCGUCUAUCCGUUUUUUCCUGUUUUUUACGUACCUCGCCACGCAAGCUGCCAUGAAACGCACGCACCCAGCCUAGCGUUCCCCCUCCCCAACCUUUUACCCUUGCAGCUCGAACGCUGGUGCGAAGCACAGAAUGGCGAUGCCGCCCCAGCGCCCAGCAAGCGGCUGCGAGUGAGCUCAUCACGACGGACGGCGACAGCACCAUCAUCAUCAUCAGCUGCAGCAGCAUCAGCAGCAGCAACAACACCGGCUCCGACUACGCUCAGUUAUCCGCAGCUGCUUAUACCUCUAGGCAGUGCGGCGGAGGUGUCCAGCACCCGUGCCGCCAUCCAGUUCGCCUACACGGGUCAAGUGGCCGCCGGCAGCGUCCGCGAGGCUCUGGAGGUUCGGCGGCAGGGCGGCUACCUGCAGAUCCACGGCUGCGCGGCGGCGUGUGAUGAACUCAUAAAGAGACUGAUAAAGGAGGUCGCGUCCGACGAUGCGCUGUUAAGUACCGACAUAACGGGAGCGGUUGUGAAGCAAAAACGGAAGCCACAGGCUGCAGGCUGCUGGGGAAGCACUCAGGGCUUACGGAGCUUGGGGCUGCAGGCAGCGUUUGAGCUGUAUGAACACGAGAAUCUGUGGCCGGAGGGCGCCAGCGCAGACGCAAGCUUCGCGAGCGUCCUAUCAUGCGCUGGAGCAUCGCUCGUUUCUCACUUUGGCAGCACACUUGCCGUUCUCAACAGCCCCCUGCUCAACGAGCGGCUGUUGUCGCUGCCCGCCAUCGCGCUGGAGUUGCUCCUGUGCUCUGACGACUUGGCCACAGACUGCGAGUCCAGCGUGUUGCUGCUGCUGGCCACGUGGAUGCGGGAGAACUUUCACAAAACGAAUGACGAAGAUCGCAAGCGCCUGUGCCGUACGGUACGACUGGCUCAGCUGAGCCGGCCGUACGCUGGUACAAUCUUGCCAGCUCUGGCGGCGGACUACGAAUUGGCGUUGGGGGCCGAAGAAAAGCCAUCUGGCUGGUUUCCUUUGAACCUCGCGGACGCCCUCUUUACCUCGAGUGUCGUUAAUGCACAGGAGGACGAGCGGCUAAAGCUGCUGGCGAUGGCUCUGAACCAAGCUGACAAGGCCCCCCUGGCAUCUCAGUGGGCCUCAAUGAAACUGAACCGGCGGCCGCAGUGCAUACCGCCGACGGGCCUCGAAGUCAGGUGGCAUGUACGGCAGGAGGAGCUGCUGGCGGCACUGGCGCGCCUGCAACCUGGCAAGACGGCUAAGGUUUGUUGCACCUUCGAGGCCAGCGGCCGUGGCAUCAGCGACAGCGAUUGCAGCAUCUACAUCGCCGCCGGCUUCUCCUGGUCCCUUUGGAUUAAGAUGUUCUACGGGCCGCAGCGACCGUUUGCGGGGCUGUUUGUGCGGUGUGAGCUUCCAACCGCGUUUGCGGUGCCCGGGUCGAGGCUGUGUCUGGAGUCCGCCACCCGCAUGGUGGUGCGUUACAAUGCAGACUUACUCGUGCACCGAUGGCGGGCGGGUGCGCGGUUGGAUAUCCGAUGCCGCUCGAAGACGCAGAUGAUAGAGCGCGGCUCCUCUAGAGGGUGGCCUAACGCUCUGCCUCUCAGAGUAUUGCCGGCCCAGCAGCCAACAUUGCCGCAGGCGCAGCGGCAACCGCAGCCACAGCAGCAGCAGCAGCGGCCAGCUGGCGGUAAUAGUGCCAGCGGUGGUGGUGGCGGCGGCGGUGGCGGCGGCACAGGGGUGCCGGGUGGGGCCAUACACAGCAAUGGCGGCGGCGGUGGCGGCGGUGCCAGCAGCGGCGGCGGGGCCGGUGAUAGCGUUGACUCGCUGGCGGCUUGGUCAGAAUAUUUGCGUGAAGGAAGGAUCACCGGGACAUUAACGCUGCGGCGCCCUACAAACCGUUGAGGCUCACAAAUACACAAAUCCGUCCAUCCCAUCCCUCCAUCCAUGUCCAUCACAUGUUGCGUGUUGUCUACACCAUGGGUAGGUACUUACUGUAUAUGACGGGCUGGCUAGCGCGCCGGCAGCACCGGCAUGGGCGUGGGUUGGUGUUCUGGGGGCUGUCUGUCCCCGCUACCCCCAGUUAUCUGCUGGCACAGACAGACAGACGUUGAUCUACUGCGUGAUGAAGUGGGCUUACUUACACCGGGGCUUCUUGUUUUGUUUGCCCUGCGAGGAUUAAAUGUCAGACGCUUCUAUGUGUGGCUAAUUUUAUCUAAUUUGCCUGGCGCAAGGGACAAAUCUACAAUCAGGUACAUUAACGGGCCGAGAACCAGAAGAGAUCCAAGGAGGCCGCUAGUACAUAGGAUGGACUUCAAAUUGCAUAUGGUUCUCUUGCUGCCGGUGCCAGCAGUUGAAGGGGUCUUUAUUUGUAAAGCUUAUUAUGCCGAACCAAGCUGUCCUACACCUCGGGGAUGUGCACACGUCGGUGCUGGCUGGCUGGCUGGCUGGCUGGCUGGUUGCAUAAAGGGUAAGUGAGCCAAUUCGUUGGCGGAUCAUCCACCAUGUCUGUGAGUACUUAUUUUGUAACGCGCAAAACGCACCUAAAUGUAAAAUGCUGUGUAUGGUGAAGGGAAAAACCGUCCGAUUGACCGUGUACGGCACUUCGUGCUCCAGACGGGCAUAUGCGCAAAAUCGCGCAAGCUAGCAGAGCAGGAGAGCGUUGAAGUAUUGAAUGGGACCUUGUUGUAGCUGAGUUGCGUAUUGCAGUUACUGUGCGCGCGCGAUAAGCAGGUAGAAUGUUGGUUGUUGGACAAAAUUGAAGUGAUCUAUGAAGAUAUCAAUUUAACGCAUAUCUUAAAACGGAGGAAUGUCUGGCCCUGCCUGGCUGGUGAUGGCUGUAGAGGAGGUGCAGUUCUGCGGGUGCAGUAGUACUCGGCCCCUGAAGCAGAAAGAGCCGCAGCCGUAGCUCGCUGCCAGAAGUGCAUGCGCAUGUGCUCCGAGGGCCUUACGUCUUCGUGUUCGUGUACAUGUCACAUUGGUAUUGUAGGGUGUGAUGUUGGGUAAUAUGUGGCAACUGUAACACUGGUGAAUAUUUAGAAGGUCUCUGAAGAUGCUGUGCAUGGAGUUUUCUUUUAUUAUUUAGUAGUCGUGAGGCCAUGCUUGUACAACACCCUACUGUAAUAACGUACCGUUGUUACGUCAACGAAAGGCCCUAAAAUUUCCAAGUCCCCGGUCUAACCUCGUCCUCCUCACGUGCCGGGGGAGGAGGCUGGAAGAGCUGAUAAGGUGGGUUUGCCUGGACGGGACAGGACAGGACAAGUAUCAAGAUGCCGUAUCAAGAUCCAGGUUGUGAGACGUACCCUGUACGUCAAGAUCUUGCUGUAAAUUGCAAAACAAUUUAGUUUCUGCAUUUUACAGUUAUCCAUGACUUGGAACAGGUUUACCAGCGCAGUAUUGUUGCGCAAUCCCAUGGCACCAGCCUUGUACUAUGUUUGUGGGUGCAAGGCUGGCGUGCAUAGCAUAUAUUGCGUUUUUUAAUUGAUGUGGGCUGACAGUGUCCUUCGUUCUUACGAUUUUGUGAUGCAAACUCCACAGCCACUCAGCAUGACUACUGCCUAUCAAAAUCCACCUAGGACUCAUGAUCGACUCAUGAAAAUUUGAGCCUUAUUAUAUGUUUUGUAAGCACUUGGAUUCGAUCGACGUCUCAUGACUACAGCACUUUAAAUAGCCAUCUAGCGAUGGAACCCCAAAACCUUAGCCUUCGAUUGUUCGCUGAAUUAUAAGGCUUAUGAAUAAACAUAAAAUAUUCUUAUUCUCAGCUGCGCGUUUAGCGGGUCUGCGUAUCGUCAAAGUUGAAGGUGCGGCUAGGUUAGGGCUAGGUCCGAAGCCCAAUAAAGCCCACCCGUGAUAACUGCACAUAGAAAGACAUUAAAGGAGCUUAAGUGAAACUAUUGAAAGUCAUGUUUCAUCUAUCUGACGUUUUUGCCCGAAUUCGCGCGUUGUACCGUUUUCGGACAAUGUACGAAUGAAACGCAUGUAACCGACAUCCGGUCGCGUUAGUGGGAGAUAGCAAGGCGGAAUGAAUCUGGCGCGAUUUUAAAUAAUAUAAAUUCUUGAUAUUGCACGAUCCCCAGCGUUUUCCUGCGUUUGUUAUCGCCAUGCAAAACUGCGAUGUCCCCGUCAACCGGCACGUUCUUCGGGGCCUCUCCAAACUGUUCAGCUCUCAACAAGACUCUGAUUGCGUAAUUAUCUUCUGUCGGGAGCGCUCUGUAGAACAGUCGGAGGAAACGGCCACUUCCGGCAGUCGGCGUGGAGGGAUGGACGAUUCCUCUCAGUGGGAGGUAUUUGGCGACCCAAUGCCCGGCCAUCGCUUCGUACUGCGGAAUGGGUCUGAACACUUCAAAUCAAAGGUAAAAAAAUCGGUUGCUUUCGGUUGUUGUUGUAUAUGCUGCACUUAAAAAACAGCUCAGCCUACCCCAGUGUGCCCACUUGCCGCCCACAUCCCCAAUAGGCCCCAAAUAAUGCCCGAUAUCCCCAAACCCCAACAAUACACGCAGCUAGAGCGCUGGUGCGGUACAAUUAAUUCCACGCAGCCCAUCAGACGUAAGCGUGCUCGUUGUACCACAACAGAAAAUGGCGCUGUAGGAAGGAUAUCGACAGCUCACUUGGUGUUGGCUUCGCCUGAGUUGCUUAUACCUCUAGGCAGUGCGGCGGAGGUGUCCAGCACCCGUGCCGCCAUCCAGUUCGCCUACACGGGUCAAGUGGCCGCCGGCAGCGUCCGCGAGGCUCUGGAGGUUCGGCGGCAGGGCGGCUACCUGCAGAUCCACGGCUGCGCGGCGGCGUGUGAUGAACUCAUAAAGAGACUGAUAAAGGAGGUCGCAGAACAAGCCAGAACGCUGAAAUACAGGAACUGCAUGGAAGCCGCAAGAACCGCCCUCCCAGUUUUCCAGUUGGCAGUUUCAAGGGACGGUGGCCGGCAGGGCGGGGGCGGCAGCUUUGUUGGCAGCGGUAAUAGCCCUAGCGGCAGCGAUAACAGCAGUGUUGGAGGAGGUGGUUGUAACGGAAGAUGGUCAUUUCACGCACCACUUGGGGGGGUGCGUGAGCUGUGCGAAUGCCAGGAGCUGUGGCCUGAUGAUGCCAGGGCACAAGCCAGCUUCGCAGAUGUUCUGACCUGUGCUGGCGACUGCCUGGCGUCUCACUUUGGCAGCACACUUGCCGUUCUCAACAGCCCCCUGCUCAACAAGCGGCUGUUGUCGCUGCCCGCCAUCGCGCUGGAGUUGCUCCUGUGCUCUGACGACUUGGCCACAGACUGCGAGUCCAGCGUGUUGCUGCUGCUGGCCACGUGGAUGCGGGAGAACUUCCACAAAACGAAUGACGAAGAUCGCGAGCGCCUGUGCCGUACGGUACGACUGGCUCAGCUGAGCCGGCCGUACGCUGGUACAAUCUUGCCAGCUCUGGCGGCGGACUACGAAUUGGCCAUGGCUAGGAACUUUGAUGUUGGAAACGAUGGCAAUGAGGAUGAUCAGUGUGGCUGGUUUCCGAUCGGCGUGUCGGAAGCGGCUUUCAUAGCCAACAUCGUAAGCGCCCGUGACGAGUGCGAGCAAGCUCUGCUGAUGGACCUCGUUGAAGAGAGGGCCAAGGACCCGAAGCGGCGCGCUACUUACAACCCCAAGCAACGGCCGCAGUGCAUUCCGGAAACGGGUUUCAUAGUCCAGUGGCAUGCACGGCAGGAAGAUCUGCUUGCGGCCCUAGCGGAGUUGAACUGCAGGGACAGAAAUCAGACGUGCGCAGCAGUGGAGUGCGUGUUUGACGGCCAAGUGGCGCAGGCAGAGGCGGGAGGCAGCGGAGGCGGAGGCGAUGGUGCUGAGUACUGCUUUGCGGCAGGCAUUGCAUAUUCCGUUUGGAUCGAGGUCUACGCCGCAGGAACACAGCCGCAGCCUCUCCUUGAACAACAGCAGCAGCAGCAGCGGUUCGCGGGGCUAUAUGUCCAGUGUGACUUGCCGCCCGCGUUUGCGGUGCCUGGGUCACGAUUGUGUGAGGAGGCCGCGUGUCGGAUGGUGGUGCGCGACACGGUUGAGUUGGCGGUGAACCGGUGGCAGGAUGGCUGCCGUAAGGACAUUAGAUGCCGCUCCCAGGCGGGCUUAAUGGACCUGAAACACUGCUGGGGCUGGAGCAAUGCGCUACCACUGAAUCAACACCCAACACAACAGCACCCCCAGCAGCUGCAGCACCAGCACCAGCAGCAGGAUACAGGCGGCGGAGGCGGCGGAAGUAAUUGCAGCGACCCACGGGUCAUCGAUGGUGAUUGUGCUGGCAGCGUCGACAGUCUAUUGGGGCCCUGGUCCAAUUAUCUGCGGGAUGGCAAAAUUACGGGAUCGUUGACAUUGCGAUUGGCCAAGACGUGACGAAGGACGGCGAUUAAUUGCGAGUACGGGCAUGUACAGGCAUGCACGGGCUAAAGGCCUGCAUAUCAGUGUUCUGCAGGAGGCGUUCCUUGGCGUGCUGCACUCGACUCGAUCGCGGUCCACUGCAACAAUCACAAACUGCUUAUCUUGUGACAUCCUGUGAGUCGAGUCGAAAACCGGAAGUUCCUGUAUUCGAGAAUGCACGUGGGGCCCUAUUGACGUUGAAUGCAGCCGGUAGGAAAGGUAGAGUUCUUGUAUCCAGUACAAAAAAAGAGCGAUGAAGAAUUUUUGCUAUACUUAUAGAGCAUUCUAUUUUAUGAUGGUAGUUUUAUUUUUUAAACGCUUCUGGGCAACUUAUUUCGCCAAAGGAGAGCUGUAUCUGGAUGACUUCCGCCGCGAUGUUGUUCGCGGGCCGGAUUACUACACAUUUCCAUGCCCUGACGAGGGGCCUCUCGGAUUUAAAUUUCUCGAAAGUAUUGAAAGUACGAGAGCGUGUGAACGGACCGGAGCAGGAGAGAGCAGGAGAUGUUGUUUCAAUAAUGUCCCCUUAGGAAGUGCCGUGUCGUGUCGCGUUGUGAAGAAGUACGGCAGGCGUUGUUCCGCCUGUGCGUCACAAGUAAUAGUAAUAAUGAUAUGUUAGUCAUUACCGUAAUCAACGGAAUGCUCAUAACAAUGGUACCGAAGUUGUGGCCCUGAGCCCCUGAGUCCUACCUAGCUCCCCCAGCGACGUUAGCAGGCAUGGCACACCGGCCAGAAUCCGCCGUCCUGCCGCCGCCGCUACACCGUCUGGGGCUGCUGCAGCGGCUGCUCCAUUGCCAGCUCCGAAACCUGCCAUGCCUGGCCAAAGCUGAACGUGUGGUUGCGGCAUAGUCAAAUCGACAGCCGAGUCCUGGUGCCGUACGGGUGCGGCAUCGCAGAACAAAAGCUUAUUGCCAUUUGCUGAACAAACAGUGCGAUGCAGCUCCAGUAAUUGAGAUGCUGGACGACGUGUUACGCGUGUUCACUGCCCGGAGGGCUCCAGGAGAUGCGAUCAAAGCGUAUAGCAGACGUCGCGCAACAGUGGCUCGAUCCCUUCAUAAGCACCACUUGGAGCUAUUUUACGCUAAGUAAUUUCACGCUACGUGAACAUAACAUUGCCUUGAACAACUCAACACAUGUGGAAUCGAAGGAUUCAGCAUUUGUCGUACAAUUGGCGGACAACCAAACCAUACAAGACAAGGCAUGCACAUGCACAUAAGGCCACACGAGCCCCAAAAGCCUGAGCGAAGAUGAGUGACAUCAGUCUCGACGAAACAUAUUUUUGCGGAUGCCGUUUUAUGGCGGAAGGGUUUUCCUGGGCUGGGCCCUUUCCUGGUGUGCUGCCACAAAGGAAAGGCGGGCGGAGGGGAUCACGCGAUGUGCUUCUUUGUAUGUGAGAGGCGUUGGUCAUGAGGGGACCAAAUUGGCCGCUCCAGUCCGAAGGGAUUUCAUGAAAGGAGUCUUCGAUUUUUCUGUGAAUCUAAACCAAAGCUGUUUUAGCGGUGCGUUAGCGGGCCUGAAGAUAUAAAGGGUGCUGUCAAGGCACACCAUGCACUCUUCUAAGUUACCAACUUCACCAGUUCGCAACUCAAUUUGCCUUACAGUACAUGGUUACCCAUCCGGACGCGAUGAAACUCGGGUGGGUGACAAGUCCGGGCAGAUCGACCGUCCAAUUAAAACCCAGCCGGGACUUGCUGGUCAGCGUCCAUGGUUCGAAAGUGAAAAAAACCGACAGUAUGCUGCAUGCUUCUUGCAAAAGGGGAACUGUCAUGUUGAACCUUGCAUACAGCCCAUGUAUUGUUUAGCAUACUGUCGAUGAGUUUGGCUGCAUAAAUUGUUUCAGCCAGCUGUUUUUGGGGUGCGAGCCAACGUCGGGGUCUUUGUCGUGCGAGCUGAGGUCCAGAUUCAUAACAUAAGCGUCAAAGCUUACACACCCUACUCAUUACGGCGAGAUCAGUGCUGUAAUCAGUGCUGUAAAGACGACGUUAAUUUAUAUUGAAGAUCGGCGCAGUUUUCGCUGUCCCACUGCCUUCAAGCCUUUUUGACAAUAUGAGAAGACGUUGUUUAUAGAGCUUCUGGAUUCAUCAGAAUUCACCCAAUUCUUUGACGUCCCAAGGUUUGGGCAACUUUUCACUGUUUUUAUCCUGAACCGUGAAUUCGCGCUGUCAAGAGGCCAGGGACACUGAGCCACCGUGUGCUGUGGUUUGCAGUGGCGGGUGACGGCCUGUGAUUUGCUAUGCGGUUGCUUGCUUUGGGCCUUUGCUUGGUCGGAUUUACUUAUUGCUCACAAACAGUGCCAGAACUAUCUAUGCAUGUGCAUGAAGAGUGUGCACAUGAACGAAAACGCGCCAACUCAAUGCGUGCCCCUUGGUCUAUGGGGGGAGUUGUAACUUAUCGGGGGGGGGGGGUCUGGGGGGGGUNNNNNNNNNNNNNNNNNNNNNNNNNNNNNNNNNNNNNNNNNNNNNNNNNNCAGCGCCCCACCACGUACAGAAUAAAUUACGGCGACCCUCGCCCUAAAUGAAAAAAAUCACUGCGUGUAAUGAGUAAUGUUACAGAGUGGGAGGCUUCUGGGCCGCUUUAUCACACAUUGUCAAUUUUACAAUUUAUCACCUUUAUAGCACCAUCCACCACUACCACACUGUACUUCGCCAUACGAACUGUAAGUCCAAGGCGGCGGAUCCAGCCUUCAGGGAUCCCUCCUCAUCCUUUCACCCGAACAUCCGAAGAGUCGGAGGGUUCGGCAAUCACCACCAAUCCAGCAUGCGAAUCUGGUCCAUCAACUGUGACCUCAACUCCACAGGAUGCAAACGUUGGGGCAUGGCGGUUUCAGCGUGGGCCAGGCACUUAUGCCGCGUGCCCCUAAGUGGGGGCGCGCCUAUCCAGUUCAGAUAGCGACAUGCCUUGACGCCGGUACUUCCACUUUGGAAGGUGCGUGGAUCACCUAGGGUAUCCGGGCACUCCCACCGGGCGUCGGGCCGCCUAGCGAACUCUUUUAAGUAUGCUUCCCCUUGGCAACCUAGCGGUAAUGUAAUGCACUAUGAAGUCGUCACCACGCAGACCGGCUGGGGGCUCAGCUUCCAAACUCUUAAGGAAAGCUAGGAUCUUGCUCGUCCAGCACUCAGCAACACCCCCCAUAGCCAUCUCAAGGUCGGCAAUGAAGGCCCGGUGUGUAGUAGCUGGUACACAGUACGGCUCUAUAAAUACGCGCGUAGCGCGACCACCAGCAUCUCGAGAGGCCUUUUCAGCAGCCAGCUACUACAUUUGCUGUCACCAUCACCUUCUUCCCGUCGAAUCUUCACCGUCAACAUCACCCUCUUUGCCUUGGCAGCCUUGGGGACCAUUAUGGUGGUGAUUGGGUCGGUUGUCCGACACGAUUCGGAGUCGCUCGGCGGUAUUGGUGGACCUGGUGGUACUGGUGCUGCUGGUUGCAGAGCCGCUGCUGCCUCCACUGCAAAUGAAUAAAUCGCAGGAGGCAGCUGUAGCUGGAUAGAGGGACCAGCCGUGGGUGCGGCUUGUGAGGUGCUUAUAUGCGGCUCGUGGGAUGAUGUGGUUUUCCGCAUGCAGACAUGUGAGCAGCCGCAAACGCAGGAGGAUUAGGUAAUGGCUCUUGGGUCGGGUGAAGCAGGGUCUGGUACUGCGUGACCUAUGGCAGAGUUGCGAGCGCUUGGGCAUGUCGCUUGGGGCGUGAGCAGUUUUCUCAACACGGCCAGCACACACUCUCUCAGUGCACUGCACCGCAAUCCAUCGCGCGGCAGUCUAUAUUCAUUUUGUUAUUGAUUUUAUUGAGCCAUGAUGCGGCAGUGCAGAGCGUCGCAAACUUGGUUGGUUUAUUUCGCAGUGAACAGGAUGCGGAGACAGCAGAGCUCUUUGGCCAACCGUAAUCUAUGGAAGUUGCCAUCAUAGCGGAACUGCGCAAGAAAGCACACGCUUUUCAAAUAUGCUUUGCACCAUCAACAUUGCUGACAAGAAGAGGGAAGGUUGUAGAGCACAGCAUGGCCAGCAUGGCCUGCGUGCUGCGUUUGAAGUGCGACUCCUCACCUGUUGCACGUCGGCCGCACGGCCAAGCAAUACUUUGGCUCCAGGAGUCAUCGAGGGCUCAGCCUCCACGAGCGCCCUGGCCAAGCGCUGUAAACCACCAGAAUCCGCGCUGCUGUCGCAAGCGCCCUUAUGCGGUUUAUGUCAGCAGUCCUUUCCAGCAUAAUGACAGUAUGAUGUGGCACAAGCCGUAUGGCAGGUAUGUAAUGAGUCCUCGGAACGGUCAGCCACCGCAAUUGUUUGUUAGGUAUAUGCGGUUGGGUAUCCGGUUCCGCAAUGGGGUCAAGUUUCAGGGACGCACUCCAAACGCGCAUAUCCACGGCAGCACUCCAUAGUUGGCGCUAGUAUACCAGUUGGGCCAUGGAUAUGGAUGUUCUGCAACAGUUUUGAUAGGCCAAGACGAACAUGGGUUUGAUUGAAGACAGGCAGCCCACCCAGCAGCGAACCCAGCUUCUGGGACACGGGAAGGCCUUUGGCCCAAACAACAAACCUUUCUGAGCAUGAAUUUCACACACCGAAAGUGUUCGAAUGAUCGAGGAGAGAUUGCGGCCAGUUCUGCAAUGUGAAAUUUGAAGCCGAGAGCGUCUCGGUGCGUGCGACCAACGUUGUUUCACGUGAAGUAAAGUUGUGUUUCAGCUAUUUUCGGUAUUAUUUGUUGCUUCUGUUCAUUGAAAUUAUGCUACCCGUUUGAGGAUUUUUUUCACGGUAACGGGUGCGUAACCGUACGUUUAUGUCACGGAACCAAGGGUCAUUUGCAUUUCACUCUCCAGACUCCAGACGGCGUUUACAAACCUAUCUAACCAACACUUGGAGCUCUGAAUAUCUCAUCACAUCGUUUCCUUUCGCUUUCAUGCUUUAUGCGUGCGUCCAGUUACACGCGGCCGGCGGCGUUUGUGGAGUAGUAGGCUGCUGCAUGCUGAACCACCGAACAGCCAGCAGCGCUUCCAACAAGUUGCCUGGCCCUCCGCUUUCCGGACACCAUCACGCAUAUUACCAUCAUAUUUGAAUUGGAUGGGAGCGGCGCUAUGUCGUUGCGUCUCGUGCGGCGCCCCAAGCAAUGCUACCGAGGAGUCGGAGCUGAAUGCCGCUCGCCCCGAUAUUGCCGCCAGCACCGCGAUUUUUGCCUCCACAAACUCUGCCAGCCGCAAGCCAAAUCAAAUCUGCGAUCCUCCUCAGUUUUCGCAACAACAACAACAGCAGCAGCCCGCGAUCGCACCGACUGUGGAGGACCCCGAGGGGGCACAGCGCAUUGCUGCCCCAUGGGUCCUUCCAGCGCACCUCAACGUCACUUCGGACCUUUCGGCCACCAACGCGCAGCACCUUUGCCAGCUUCCCGCCAUUCGCGAAGAUUCGUCGUCGUCCUCAGCGCUGCCGCGACCGGCUUCCUUAGAGCUGCAACGGCAGGAGGCCUUAGCGCAGCAGCAGCAGCAGGAGCUAUUAGUCGUAGUACGAAAGGGUCGGUCGCAGGAGGAGGGGCAACAAGAGCAGGAACAGGCCCCAGUUCAAGCAUUCCAACGCGAAGCCGUCGAGCAGAGGCAAGUACGGCGGGACCUGCCGCCGACGGCACCGCUGCCGCCGCCGCCGCGUUGCACCUGGCAGGACGCCGUCGCCGCGAGCAGUAUUGGCUCCACCGACAGCCCCUUCGCCGCCACCGCCGGCGCCACCACUGCCGUACCAUCCUCCGUACCAUCUGCCACCGGGGGAGUUCCCGGGGUGUUGGGGCGCCUGCGACCCCGCACCCCGAGCGCGUUCCUGCUCGCCGACUUGCCGCGCGCCGCUCCUGCGGCAAAAAACAAGAACAACAACAGCAACAACAACGAUAACAGCAACAACAGCAUCCGCAACCACGCUGCGGCAGCGGCACUAAGCGCCGGCGGCGGCGGCGUGGAGCCCAGUUACACACCGGAUUCGUCCACGCCAAGAUCCGGUUCCGUAGGCAGUACACAGGUCAGCUACAGCUCCGCCGGCGGCGUCGCUACUGGCGGCGCCGCCGCCGUCGCCGCCGCCGCCGGCGGUGGUGGCGAUGACUUGGACUCCUUUGAUGCCACAGGUUCGGGACGGUCGGCGAUGGAGUACCAAGCCAUGACGUCAGCGCUGCCGCCGCCGUCGCCGCCGCCGCCACCGACGGUGACGGCGGUGCCCGCGGGCUCAGAGGGCAUCGCGGGGUUUACAGCACACGCGGACGAUAACACGAUGACGGUGUCACCAGCGCUGAGAGCGGCGCUGCGACAGGCCAAGACUCGAUCACGCUGCUCACAGUCCUUUUCGCAAUUCGAUUCUCAGUCGCAGCUACAGCUCCCGCAGCAGCAGGAACGGACCCGUGGGUCGUUUCUGCUACAGCCCAACACGCUCGUGUCUUCCUCUGUAGCGUCGUCCGCCGCAACCUCGGCUGUAGUCGUCACCAUUGGCACCAAUGUGCCGUCAGCUGGAGUGAAUUCCGGGCUACAGUCGCAACAGCCGCCGCCGCCGCCGUCGCGGGCCAGCCUGGCGGCGGCGCUGGCGCACACAGGCGACGGCUCGCUCAGCGCCGCAUCCUGGCUACAGCCACCACCACCGGUGAAGCCGCCGCCACCAUCACGCAACAGCGUCCCGCAGCAGCAGCGGCCGGAGCAGCAGCAGAUGUUGACUCAACAGCUAUCCGAGUCGUACGGAUCUGAAUCUGCCGUAUGCACGUUGCAAAACAUGUACGGCGGAUCUACAGGGCUGAGGCCGCAGCUGCAAGCCGGGACGUGGGGUGAGGAAAGGUCGACGCAGACGCAGACGCAGCAGCAGGGGCAGGCGGAGGUGUUGGCGGCGACGGCGAAAGCGGCGGCUGAGAGGCACCAAGGUCCGACGUCAGCGGAGGUGGCGGCGGCGUUCGCGGCGUACCUGUCGGGAGGUACUGGUGGCGGUGGCGGCGGUGGCGGAGGCGGUGGCGGCGGUGGCGGCGGCGGAGAGCGGCUACCGGGUGCUGCUACAGCCGGCAGCCGCCUCCCCCCCCGCGCGCCGGUGAUUCCUGUGCAACCACAGCAGCGAAGUGGCUCGCCGCAGCCACAGCCGUCGCCGCAGUCGCCGCAGCCGCCGUCGCCGUUGCCGCCGCCGCAGCAGCAGCCACCGCCAUCACAGGUCGAAACUGCUGCCCCAGGAGGGGGAGGAGGGCGGCCUGGCGUAUCCGGCAGUCGUACGACACCCGCUGCUGUUGCCGUCGCUGGAGAAGUCGUCAAGUCGCCGAAAAGGCUCACAGCUGGCGGCGACGGCACGUCCUCACUGUACGGCGGCGCCCGUGUAGCCACGGCGGCGGCGCCUUCCGCCGCUGAUCGCGCUACUUGGGCGCUACAGGGUGGUGGCGGCAGCCGUCUCAAUGACGUGCGUGGCGAGGUGCGUGAUGGAAAGGAUGGUAUCGGAGCGGGAUGCCGUGAUGUCCGGGAAGCCGAGCCAGAGAGGGUGUCGCUGUCUCCUGGGCUUCGACUCCGCCUCCGCCAGGAUCUGGGCACGGAGGCCGCAGCGGCAGCGGGGGCGCCAGGCGGCGGAGGCGGAGGCUCGGAGAAGGGCAUUACUCUUGGCGGCGGCGGCGGAGGCGACGGAGAUGAUGAAGACGACGGAGGCAGUGGCGGCGCCGAAGAGGAAGUGGAGCCGAGUGCUGAAGCUCCCGCCGGCGGCGGGGCCACCGCCGCCGCCGCCGCCGCCGCUGCCUCAGCCGCCGCCAUGGCUCCCACAACACCUGCUAGUGCGUUCCGCAGCGGCGACCAGUCGGGCAGGUCGGUGGGCGGCGCUGGCAAAGGUAACAAGUUCCGGGAGAAGUACGGCACCAUGGCGGCAGCCAUGGGGCUUCGUACGGCACCUGAUCGCAGCAGCCGCCCCGCGCAGACGGCACCGGCGACCCUCAGGGCGCAGAUGCGUGCGGCGGCGGCUGCGGCGGCGGCGGCCGCUGCUGCCACUGGCGGCAGUGUUGGCGGCAGCGGCGGCGGCAACUCCGGCGCUCGCGUGUUGUCAACCGUCAUCGCGGGAAGCACGGGCCGCAUCAGCGGCAACGGCGUUGCGUCGCCGUACGUCCCACGUGGAUCAAUGUCAGCCCGGUUGCCGUCACCCAUGCGGCCCAGAGGGGAUUUCGGUAGUUACGGCAGCGGCGGCGGCGGCUUGGCCAGCGGCGGCAGCUUCAACGAAGGGGCUUUCGCCAGCGGCAUGAUCGUCCUUGGCGGCAGUGGCGACUCGGCGGAGGGGUCCAAGCUGCCGCCAGUGUCGGAAAUCCCUAUGCCGUACUCGAUGUUGGGAACGUACGGCUCCGGCGUUGGCAGUAUGCGAGGCCGGCUGGUAUGCCCUGUCGUGGAGGAAGACGGAGAGGGAGAGGGAGAGGGAGAGGAAGCUGGCGACGCGCCGCNNNNNNNNNNNNNNNNNNNNNNNNNNNNNNNNNNNNNNNNNNNNNNNNNNGUAAGCGGCGGUUCCGCUGCCGCCGCCGCCGCCGCCGCUGCCGUCUCAGCAGCAGCGGCAUCAGACGACGCCGCAACAGACGCGAUCCGGCAGCGGCGGCGGCGGCGGCGGCAGCGGAACCGCCGCCAAUGUUACAGUUCCCCAAUUCGGGUCGCAUGUGUCGUCCGUUGUCUCGACUCUCUCCUGGAGUUCCACGCCAGGUGACCCAGGGGUCAGUGAGCCAGAAAAUGCCGAAGCGGCUGUGGCGGCGGAAGCGGCGGCGGCAGUAGCGCACAUGGCCGUUGAGCUCCGAUCGGAUAUGAAAGGGUUGCGGGGCUCAUCAAGCCUUACGGUUUCCACCGCCGCCGCCUAUGGGCCAAGGACGCCGGCGGCGGAGCAGCGGCAGCCGCCGCCGCCGUCGGCGUCGCCGCCGCCGCCGCCGCCACGCGCUGCUUCUCCAUUCCGCGGGUCGCCGUCACGCGACGACUUCAUGUCGCCUUUCCAUGCCGUCGGCCGCAGCCAAGGUCAGGUCUCCGCCGCCGCCAGCUCGGUGAGUAGUAACUCCAGUCCCGAGCGCCGCCCUGAUCGCGCAGGGAGCCCGACGCCGUUGUUGAUGUCGUACGGCCGCCCGGGGCCUCGCCACCACCGCACCCCGGCGGUAGCUCCCCGUAGCCCAGUCGGCAGUAGCCAGCUGCCGUACCACCAGCCGGCCACUCCACAGCUACAGCCGGGGCCGCCAAGCCAGCCGCCGCCACCUCAGGGCCGCGCAACUCAGGCCCAGCAGGCUCAUGUUCAGGACCAGCCACAGCUACUGCCACAGCUACAGCCGUCGCCGCCGCCGUCGCCGUCCCGCAAAGCGCCUCCGUCCUCCGCAGAAUCACGACAGCCGGUACCAGUAGCGGCGGCAGCAGCAGGAGGCCAGACGGCGGCUGCAGCAGUAGCAGGGGAGGCGGCGGCGCUGCCGUCGCCUUUCUCCAGGGGGCCGCCAGCGGGUGGUGGCAUGGUAGGCAGUAGCAGCGGCGGCGGCGCCGGCGCCGGCGCUGGCGGCGGAGACGGCAGUAGCAACCGAAAUUCCUUAUGCUUGGGGCCGGGAGCGGAAGGAGGCGGCCAACGAGGUUAGAGUUUUGAGGUGUCGUACUCUAGUGCUCACGGAUUGGACGAGCUUAGGAACUUGUAGAUUAUCGUGACAGGGCAACAGCAUCAGUUUCGACAUCUCCCUAAACAUCAACCACCCUGACAUCAAUGUGAUGAACAGCGCCAAGAAAUAUGGUCGUCAGAUGAAGAAGUAUUGUCGUGUCGAAGCCUAAUGUUGUGGCGUGGUGUUGUGUGGCGAUGUUCUUCGAUGUGUGCCGUUGGCGUGUGUAUGUGUGUAUGUAUGUCGUUACAGGGUGGUUAAGCUUCACCAGCGGCCCCCUUUCCCUUGGAGGCAGUUCCCGGCUCUCCCCUACUAGAGGGGCACCCAAAUCCGUUCACCCCAUCCAACUUCAGAAUGUAUUCGUUGGGUUCAGCAACUCACCACCAGCAUCCAACCAAAUCUAGCGGAUCAACGGCGCAUCAACUAAAUUCCUGGUCAGCUCGCAAGAAAAGUUAUUCCAUUUCGCUACCGGGACUCGAACCCGGGUCUCGAGAGUGAAAAUCUCAUAUCCUAACCGCCUAGACUAUAGCGAAGAAGAAGUAUGUACCUAUGCGUAUAGGUCUUUGUAGAAAGAUCUGGUCACCUGGUGAGUGUGUGGGGGGGGAGAAAUAGCCGCGUUAGGGACGGGGUUGGGGUUGGGGUUGGGGUUGGGGUUGGGGUUGGGGUUGGGGUUGGGGUUGGGGUUGGGGGUGGGGUUGGGGGUGGGGUUGGGGGUGGGGGUGGGGGUGGGGGUGGAAGGGAAGAGGAGAGUUUGGGGUUCAAAAAGGGAUAAGGUGGGUUUUGGGAGAUCACUGGCCCCAGACGUGACAUAAAAUACAUUAUAUACACUGUUAUUGUAUAAUACGUACUAUAUAAUAUCCUUUAUUUUUUGUAAUGUGAUUUAUGUUUUAUUUUGGUGUAUCCUGAUGUAGCAUUAAACAUUUCCGUACUGUACUGCAUGCCUGUUUACCCGCCGCCGCCCCUCCAUAACUCCAUUCCUUUGCUCGUCUUUCCCCCCUCCCUCUCUCCCUCCCCCGCAGCUCCCUUCAGCAUGUGGUCGGGUGCGGCCGUCUCCACCCUCUCCGCCUUCUCUCAAACCGUGAGGUCGCUUCCAAGCUGCCAUCCAAGUCCUCACGGCGCCGCCAGGGCCCAACACCCGCCCGCCUUGUCGUGCGGCGGUGGCGGCGGCGGCGGAUCUCACAGGCAAUUACUGACGUCAAUGUCGUCGAUCUCGUCCACUACUACCGCCGCCCCACCUCCCGCCGCCGUCGCCACGCAGUCGCCGCCACCGCCGCCGACAACUCCCGUACAGCUAGCACCGCCGACAGACGCUGCGGCGGAAGGCGUUACAGCGAGCGGCGAUGUACGGGACGGAUGCGGCGGCAAUCGGGUGCCGCGGCGGCCGUCAGCCAUCGCGGAGCCGCCGCCGCUGCCGCCGCCGCCAUCGGGCCUGGCGCUGGUAGAUGCGGCGGUAAUGGCGGCGGCAGCCAGACCAACGAACCAGCUGCCGUACGCACCGGUCGCGGCGCAGGUUGAAGCCCCACCCCCGGGGGUUGUCCAAGGCCUUGCGCACCCAGCAAACGUAAGCGGCUUUGGCGGCGACAGUAUCACAUCGCGACGAACGACAGUCGGCGUCACAGCCCUGGAUGCUGAUGCCGUACCGCAGAUUCCCAGCACCGGCAGCGGGUACGAUGUCUGCGCCCCUGUUUAUGUGCCGUACGGUCGAGAGAUGGGGCUCAGGGGAGGCGGUGCAAGAAGCGCCAUUGUUGGCGGCGGCAGUAGCGGUGUCAGUGCAGGCGGCAGCGACGGCGGCGGUGGCGUUGGCAGUAGCACUCUGGGUAAUAGGACGCUGUCGUGGGCCUUACGCACCGCGCCAGCGCGAUGGGAUUCCGCGUUUUCCCGUACGGGAUCGUCUCCCGAUGGCGGCAGCCGCCGCCGCCGCGCCGCCGUUGGCGNCGNCGACAGGCUCGCCGCCAGCACCGGCAUCGAGGGCUGCGCCGAAAUCUUGAAAGUGAACAGCGCCGCUCCCGUCGGCCGUACGGCAGAUAGCCGCAUGGAACGAUCUGCUGCGCCGUCGGCGUCUGGCGCGGAAGCUGCCUUACCCAGGCUCGAGUUCACGUUCGGCGACCCUAGUUCUUUGCGUUCCCGAAGGCGCUCGUCAUAUGCCCGUUGUGAUACGAACCGUUUAGGGGAAACGGCCACGUGAUAGUAAUCGCAGUUAGAAUCGUUGAUUACGACGUGGAAGUUCAUCUUGCACAGCCUUAGUAAAAUUCACUCUCCUUCAGGACGUCGCUUUCCUCACUCUUAACCCUAAAACCUUAAAGCCAUAAGUCCCUAAAACCCUAAAACCCUAAAACCCUACCAUUCACACCGCAGGUUGCUGCCGGGGCUGGGUCAGACACCAGCAACGCAGCAGCAACGGCGCCACCAGCCGUACAUUUGCAGUACGAUAACUCCCCCAGCAUGGGAACACCCAUAUCCGCCGCUUACAUCACUCGUACGGCGGCGCUGCCGUACAUCUCCAUCACCUCAACCGGGGACCCGGAAUCGCCAUUUCGCGCCACAGUGGCCGCAGUGAGUACGACAUCGUCGCCGAUCCCGUCGCCGAUCCCGUCGCCGAUCCCGUCGCCGUCGGCAGCGACGGCGGCGACGGUGGCGUCGUCAGAGUCCCCCCGACCCCGGAGACCGUCAGCAUGGCCGUGGGCUUUCCAGGGGGAUCGCGAGGGCGACGGGGGAGCAGAGGAAUGCCGCCAACACGGUACGGCAACGCCGCAUCCCCCGCCGCCGCAGACAACUCCCGCCGCCGCUGCCACCCUUUCCAUUCCUUCCGGCGGCGGAGCGUUCACCCCAUCGGCUCCGUCAGGCCCGCAGCGAUCCGUACACACACCAUCUGCUGAGACAGCCUCGAGGACGACAUCAUGCCGUACAAGUAGCGGCGGCGGCUUCGUCGGGAAGAGCACGGCGGUGACGGCGACGGCGGGAAGAGCACCCGAGCAGCGGCGGCGGCGGCAGCCAGAUACGGCACCUCCGCCACCGCCGCUGCCGCUGCCGCCGCCGUCCGACCUACCCGCGCCGUUUAUCUUUACCUUGACCCCUUGUGUGCCCCUCUCGGAGGUCGAGAACCUGUUGUCGCUGGUGGCCAACGUGUUCCAGGUGUGGGGUGGAUGUGUUUUGUACGACAUGAGCUGUCACAGCCCCCCCAUCUCCAUCCCCUGGUACGGCAACAAGCAACAACUCGAGGAACCGAGCACGACUGGUACAUUUGGAUUUUCAUGUUCAUGUUCACGUUCAUGUUGCAGUCCAUCCAUCCCUUGUGCAAUAAUUCCUAAAGUUGCAAGUGCAAGUGGUUCUGGGGUUUGGGGCAUUACUUGCUCGUCCUCCAUGCCCUUCUCGUCCCCUUCCCCCGCCCCUCCCUCCCUCUCCCGGGUUCGCGGUUCUCGUGUUUUCCUCCUCCCUCUCUCCCGCACCCACCCAGUCGCCACGGACGCCUUUCGGUCAGUUUUUACGUUUGCUACUCUCUUGCCCUGGCAGCAGCUUCAAUCGUGUGUGGUUCGUCUUUCCCCCACCCUCCUUGGCAGCAGCUUCACUCGUUCGUCCCUCCCCCCCCUACCUGCCCGGCUCCCUGCCACCAAAGGUUCCCAUAGUCAUGGUGGCGGCCCACAUGCCGGGGACAAUCUUCGUGAAGGUAAACAAAGAGGCGGUCGCCACUGCUGCUGCUGCUGCGGCGGCGGCGGCGGCGCCGCAACGGCCAACCGUCGAAGGGAGGAGGGGUACGGACGCCGCCACGAACGGUCUGAUUGCCGACGUGGAAUGGCAGUUGCGGUUGGGCGCGUGGGCGGUUGGAAACUCCGCCGCAAUACAGCCGCCGCCGCCGCCGCCGCCCCUGGCGGGACCCUCCUCCUCCCGCGGUCAAGGAGGUCCCCGGGGGGGCGGAAGUGGAGGCGGAGGUGGCGGCAGGGAGGUGAUUGUCGAAGAUACACUCAAGGAUGAACGGUACGACAACAAUUCAUUUUCUUUUCGGUUCCGCAUAUUUCGGAUCCGUACGUUUUUUGAACGCACCUUUGAGCGUCCCGUGUGGGUGGACGUCAUGAUGUGGGGGGGGCCCCGUGUUAAAAGACGGACUCGACUUCAGAAUUUGGUGCUGUCUGUCUGUCUGUCUGUCUGUCUGUUAUUUUAACAGACAGACAGACUGUCUGUCUGUCUGUCUGUAAUUCUAACAGACAGACAGACAGACAGACGGAGUAAAAAUCCAUGGAAAGGAAAAGCGCUAAAAUUUGCACGCAAAAAAAAUCGAAAACAAGAUUUCUUCUCAUUCUUUUUCAUGUGUUUACUCUCAUUUCAUCUUCAUCUUCAGAUUUUUGUUGACGGGGUCCCUAGACCACUUCCAACUAAACCAGCACUAGGUUGCCGCCCAAGAAAGGCAGCAACACCCGUAUGGCCUCUCACUGGGCAGUGUCGGACUUCGGAAGCCUGCAGUUCACUUUUGAAUUUUUUGCAUCAUGAAUGAUUCGAGCAAUGGUGUUUGUCGUACACCAACAGACUGUCGCGCGAGGCGUUCGUACGUAUGUCACCGCCGGUUCGGUUUAUCAUGGCGGUUGCGCUGGAGGACGAGCGACCUAACAGGAGCCCUGGCGGCGGCGGUGGCGGCGGUGGCGGCGGCGGCGCCUCCGCCGUAUUUGCGCAGCCGGAUGUUCCCGCGGUAAACUCGCCGUCUUCGGCGGCCUCGGCGGCGGCAAGGGCGACGGCCGCAGUGGGCGUGACCGGCGGCAGCAGUUCUUCCACCACCGCGCGGCGGCGGCGGUGCCGCCACGGCGACGGCGGUGGUAGUACGGCGUACGAUGGAAAUGAGUACGACAGCGGGAGCGACUCUGAUGAUGAGGGUUUCCUUCGGUUGCUGGGGACGCUGUGUCUGGCAGAUUUUAAAGUGCGUUGGUGCGUCUGUGUACGAGCUCGUACACUGCCGUACGCAGUCGCCUCAGAGAACCUUUGUGUAGUUCAGGCUCCUCCUACGGCUCCCCUUCUCCCCCCCUUCCGCCUCACCUAAGUCAUACACACAUAUAUACAUACACGCGCUCCAUCUCCCCGCCCUCCCUCCCCCCCCCCNNNNNNNNNNNNNNNNNNNNNNNNNNNNNNNNNNNNNNNNNNNNNNNNNNGCCCGUACAGCCUCGGCCCGCGGCUUCUGUCCCCCUGCACCUGCUGGCCAACAUUCGAUACCUGCUGCUCAGUCAACUCAGCAGAGAUGUACGGCUGUACGACGAACGUCAGCGAUCCAGGGUGAGUGUACGGCAGCGCACUGCCGGGUUGUUACGACAUGCACAGAGACAGGGCGCGCGACCGACCGACGGACCGACAGACAGCUGCUGAACCCCUAGUUCACUAGUCCACUUCCGCCCCCGCAAUUUAUUCCACCCUAAGCCCCCAACCAUUCCGGGGUUUCCAAACCCAAAUCCAUCAAAACCCAACCCGCACUCCCCCCCCACCCCUCACUGCCCCCCACCCACCCCUCCUCCGAAAUCCAAUCCCCCGUACCCACCCAUCCCUAUCCCUAGGCCGUACUGUCCGACCUGCUUCUCAACCUUCAGCGGCUCCUCGACCGCCAUGACCGGUGCCUCCUCCUGGUGGACCUCGGGUCGGGACCCAUGGGUCGGUGGCCCGUGCUGUACGCCAACCACGCCUGGACGUCCAUCACUGGUGGGCCCCGUCGUAGCCCCGGAGGGGGUAGUGGGGGUUGUGGGGUUUUACAGCCGUACGGCAGUGUGGUGCAUAUGGGGCUUAUAGGCUAGGGAGUUUCGGUGGGUGCUUGGGGUGGUUGGACCAAUGAGUAUUGGUGGGUUGGUGGUUGGUAUGUUGGCGCAGGCUGACGUGUGUGUACGACGACCCAUAUAUAUGUGGUGGGGCGCCCGAGGCAUACGUAAUCUUUUCGAUGUGUGUACGACAGGUAUACCCCGUGAGGACGUCGUCGGUUGCGACAUUAAGGAGCUCAUCACUUCCGCCGCCGCCGCCGCCGCGGCCGCCGCUCCUGCGACGGAGGCAGCAGAAGCCGCGGCCGCCGCCGCCGCCGCCGACAGGCCGACGGGGCCGACGGCGUUGACCAUCGUACCGAUUGACUGGGGCCGCUACUCGGCGGCGUUUUUGCGGCAGGAGGAUAUUGUGGUUGAAAACGCCCAACUGCCAACGACCGGGGCGUCAGCCGCCGCCGCCGCCGCCGGAGGUGACGGUGACGGUGACGGUGACGGCUGCUCCGUUGGACCUAGCCUGCUGGCGACACUGCGUUUUCGGUGAGGGGUUUAGCUCUUUAGACUUUGGAUUUGGAUUCGCAUGUCUUUCGGAUUUGAAUUUGAAAAUUGGCGGCCUUCUAGAGGGGCCAUGAUGAGAGGUGCUCGCGAGGGGGGUAAUGAUCUGAGGGAUUGGGCAGUAAGAGUGGCUUUGGCGACUUUAUGUUGCCGUGCAUGUGUCUUCCCGUACAUGACCUCGGGUCGUACGCUUUGAAUAUCCCCGGGGUCCCCAUUCUCCCGCCCCGCACUUGCCACCCCCCUUCGCGGCCCAGAUUCGCGUAUUUUCAUCUUGAAGAAUGCCGUACACUCUUUUCAUUUAUAAUGUACGAUGUACGACAGGUUUGUAUCUCGCGAGUUCGCCCAGGAAAGUGGUCUGCUGCCGUCAGGCUGGCGGCCGCUCAUCGGUGCGAUCCCGGAGCGGGGGGGUCCUGGGAGGGCGCUGCUGCUGGUGACACCAAUACACACCGCCGGUACACACGCGCCGCAGUCGCAGCCCCACUCGCAGCGGCCGCAACCUCCGCGACCCCCGGAGGUUGGUUGGGGGGGUUGGGGAAGACUGCCUGUGCGGUAGGAGGGCUGUGGCUGGCUGGGGGUUGUGUGUUUUGGGGGGGGGGGAGGGACGGGGGGGGAGGGGAAGAGGGGGGUUAGAGAAUACCGCGCAGUUAGCCAGUGCGCCCCACCCCACUGAGCGACCCAUGGGUCGCACGUAAGGAACAAAGUCACGGGUCAGAGACAGCGUUAUUUUUUUGCGGAAUAUAUUCCGAAUUCGGAAUAAAAAAAUCCGUGGUCCUGAACGUUAAGAAUAAAUAAUGUUCCAACCGUACAAGUUCAUUCCUCCAGCCAAAAAUGGACUGUCCAUGCCAAAC
rnacentral:lncRNA from 1 species